rnacentral:ncRNA from 2 species
ACACGCCCGCCGGGAGAGUCUGGAAUUCCAGCGCCGAAGGAGCAACCGCCCCGGUCCCUCUCAGGCAAAUGGACCGGUGGGACGUG